GCUUCAGUAGCUCAGUGGUAGAGCGUAUGCCUCGUAAGCAUAAGGCCGGGAGUUCAACUCUCCCCUGAAGCU
rnacentral:tRNA from 1 species